UAUCCCUUCCAUUCCGGCAAGCUCUGGUGAGCUCUUGGCGCUUGCUUGUCCUGGAUGCCGACUCGUCCCUCCAUGUGCAGUGCGGUCGCUGCCGGCUCGCGGGCGGUCAGUGCUGCCCUUCCCGUGCACUGGGCGAGGACGCGUGCGGAUCCCCCAUGGAGCGACUCGUAAGUGUCGUGAUGUGUGGGACCUGGCAAGCACAGCUUUGUUUUGUCCACCUUUAAUGAGUGCAYGGGCGAGGGAAGAGCUGCCCACCCCUCUCUCGGGAUUGGCGCACCGGCUCCUUGGGAAUGGUCGGCUCGCUCCCUCCUCCUUAAGCCUGGACUGAACAGGUCAAGCAACGCUGGAUGAGAUUAUCUGGAAAGUGUACUGGGCUGCAAAAGAAGGAUAAAGUUCUUUAAGAGGCGUCACUGCAUGAAAACUGACAGAGCACACGGCCAUACUGCCCACCCCUCGGCUCCUGCUCCAGCGCCACAGAAGGCUCUCAGGGAAUGGAGGAGGAUAAAGGGCAGAGCGCUAAAGCCGCCAGCGCCGUGGGCGACCUAAGGAGGAGCUGGCAGACUUGGGCAGAGGACCACGUUGAGUACCAGAGGAAGAAUCCCUUCAGCAGCGACGAGAGGCUUGCAGCCAGGCCUGUGCACAGCCCCCACGGAGACCCUUCCUACGGCAGACCCCCGGAAGGGUCCAAGACGGAGCAGAGGGGAAGAGACGCCCACUCGCACGUGGGCAGGGAGGUGGAGGAGCUCUGCGGCAUCAUAAGGAGCACCGGGGAGAAGGGAGAGGACGGACACGUGAGCGUGACGUUCCGGCAGCUCUUUGAGACGUACGUGACUAUUUCCAACAAGGUGGUGGGGAUCUUGCUGCGGGCCAGAAAGCACGGCCUGGUUCAUUUUGAAGGUGAAAUGCUUUGGCAAGGAAAGGAUGAUGAUGUGAUCAUCACUUUGCUAGAAUAAGGCUUUGCCACGUGGUGAAUUCUGCUUCGUGUUCCCAUUUGGAAAGAACCUCUCUAGAUACCAUCUUGAAAGAGAUCUUCAUUACAGAAUUCCAACUCWGCGAAUUAAUGGGACAUGAGUACAAGAGAAAAUUGGUAAGAAGGAUGAAAGGUGUUUUCAUAAAAAUGGUAGAUAUUGGGGACAGGAGUCACAAGCUGUUAGCUAGUCUGUUACUCUGCCAGUGGUCCGUCCUUUCAUCAUUAUGAUCCAUCACAUGUGGUUCUUUAAAUGUCGCUGUGGGUUUAUUGCUUUAGGUAGCUGAAAGCUUAAAAUACUAAUUUGCUACCAUACAACACUAAUCCUUGCAGGCUACGAAAUACUCACUGUGUGGAGGAUUUUUAUGGUAAAACACAGAAUUUAAGUAUUUCUGUAGGAAAUAUACUUCAUAUACUUCUAGAAAGAGCUUGAGCUAUAGCAAAAGCUUAAUUAUUUUCACGUAGUGAAGUUAAAUAACUGAACGUUUUACUGACUCUCAGUAAGUAUGUGAAGAUUCCCAAGCUUACAGAAAUAUCACUCACUUAGGGAUCUAUAAAAUAUACAACGAGGGUACUACCUGGUUCCUCAUCUGUUUGCAUCUUUCGUGUAUUCUGUAGACUGCACUAGUCCUGGUGUUCAGCAGCCUACUCUGACCAUCGUAUCUUCUGCAGAGCUUUCAAGUAUCCCUUGUUCUUCUUCCUCUUUGUAUCUCACUGUUUUCACCUGUUCUGUUCUUCUAAUGCUACCUCAUCCUCUAGAAGUUCAGAAAGUUUGGCAAUCUUUGGGGGCAAUUUCAUUCUGCUGCUCCUUAGAAAGUAGAGUGCCACAACGCAGAGAAGUGAAAAAGAAUGGAAAUGGUGUGUUAGUGAAAGGAGAAAGACAAAACCUUUCACUUCUUCCAGCAAAACCCAGCAGUGCUGUUCACAGCAGGAGGGUAGAGAUUCUAGAGUGCCAAACGCAUGAAGAAAAACACAGCAGUGAAGUCGCUGACCUCACUUGGUCAGGCCGAGC